CGGGAUGUGGCUCAGUUUGGUAGAGCGUACCGUUCGGGACGGUGAGGUCGUGGGUUCGAAUCCCGUCAUCCCGACCA
rnacentral:tRNA from 1 species